GGCAGCCACGGGCUAUGCGCCUCCAGAGGAGAUCGCGGCUACUGAGGAAGCACAGGCGGCGGCAGACUUGGCCCAGGCGGCCCAAGGCCUGCGCGUCCAGCAUCCGGCACUCGGGUCCGUAUUCUUCCGAGCUGGGAUUAGUAACAUCGCCUGAUCCACGUGUUCAUUAGUAACGUGAAUAAUCGAUGGAGCCUGGAGUACUGACAACACAGAAGGAUUCUGGUCCAAAAUGGCAAAGUAGCCCUUCACAGAUAGUGGAACAGGAAAAUAUGAGUACUGUUGUGUUGUUCAUUCUUACAGUACUUUCCACUCUACAAAAGCUUGAAAUGCUUGGGGAAAUUUCUCCCUCAAAAUUAAAAAAAUAGAUAAAUUAUAAGUUCAUCAUCUGCUUAGAAUGCUUUGAACAGGUAUCACUUACCCACUGCAGUCUGCAUCUGCUUUUGCGCAGUGGAGUAGGAAAAUAAAUCUGAGUAUAUAAUGAGGUUACCAUAGCAUACAGGCCUUUAGACAGUACUUGCAUCCUUUCCAGAAGGUCAUCUUGUCUAUGUAAUCUCAAGCACUCAAAUAUUCAUAAAAAUCACCAACUCGGGAAGCUUCAUGUUUGAGAGAUUCAAAACUGCUGUCUGAGGAGCUGUGGUCCAUUUACACCAAGUUUCAAUACACCCUGGAAGUCAGGGAAGUUCCAGAAGGCAGCAAAUGCUCUAUCAGCAUUUAUGAUGAGUGAAUCAGGUGGCCCAAGUAAUUAAAAAUUUCUCAACCUAAAUUUGAGCUCAGGUGAAGUAACAGCACAUCUGGUACACAACUUAAGUAGCCAGCUGAAAAAGAGGUAAUAUAACAAAUUUUGCUUAACAUGAGAUUAUGGAAACUUGGUAUGAAUGCAGUUUUGUAUUAACUUAAUAUCUUUUUGAUGACAUUAAACUCUUUUGUAAUAGACUUCAGCAAUUUCUGAAACAUUAAAUUAUUAAAAUGUGAAUAA